GUCUGUUUCAUUUCAACAGAAUCGUUCUGGCUACUGUGUGAACAAAAACUGUAGCAGGUAAGGAACAGAAGCCAAGAAGCCAGUAUGGAGCCAAAGAGCAGGCCAAGUGAGGGAUGAUGACUCACUCACUGGCUAGCUGAGUAGUUCUUGGGUAUGUAGAAAUCUUCAUUUCUUCUGAAUGUUUUGAUUUAGAAGCUUCCAUCUGUGACAUAAAUGGAUGAUGACUCACUCACUGGCUAGCUCAGUGGUUCUUGGGUAUGUAGAAAUCUUCAUUUCUUUUGAAUGUUUUGACUUGCAAGCUUCCAUCUGUGACAUAAAUGAAAGUCUCAUUUGAUUAUCAUCCAAAGCAACUAUGAGCAAAGCUACCAUCUCUGGCUUGAAGUUAUCUCCAAUUUAUUGUCUAUGAUGAAGAACAGCAUUACCAGAAUGACAAAAAGCAAAUUUUCGAUUUUAUUUUCAUCUUUUAGCCUUAUUGAAUAGAUGUUUAUAGAGAAAGAGUAUUAGCAUUUAAAUGAUUUAUAUUAAUGUCUAUUAUACCUACUUAGGUCCGUGAUUGAAUUUUAUUCUUAUCAUGUAGAGAAAAGAGAGUAAAGAUCUUAGAUGAUGGACUUAGAAUUGUUGAAUCUUUUCUCUGCAAGAGGCAGUGUUUCUUGUAUGUGAGGGUCAAGUGUGUCCUGGAAACAAAUGCAAAAAGAAGACUUAACCUUCAAGAAAAUUUAUAUCUAAUUUUGGAUCUCUCUGAGCAGCAUUAAAAAAAAUGAAAACAAAGAGUGGAAAAAGGGAGAUUAGAUAGUAAAAUUGCUGCAUCCUGGAUUUUCAUUCUUUUCUUUUCUCUCUGCAGCCUUGAGGAUUUAUUGGCACCUGUUUCAUUUGUCUUUCUCUGGAUUUAACAUUGAGGUGAUGAGAUAGAAUAUUACCUGUGUGCUUCGGAACAUCUAUGAGUGACAUGUAAUAGUUGCCUGGGAAACUAGAGAUGAAAUUCUACAGGUCUUUGAAAUGCUUUACAUUUGAAAAUGAAGCUCAGCUGAAGUUUGAACAGCAUACUGACAUAUACCAACAAGAAUGAAAAUAACUUAACAGCAAUUUUAUAAAUUCACAUCUCCCAGAGCACCACAGAGUAAAGAAAUACUGCAUAUGGCUGCUCUUGAGUUUUUCUGGGGGAAUAUACUAGAAGACCAUAAUCAA